rnacentral:rRNA from 1 species
UACGAAGGGGGCUAGCGUUGUUCGGAAUUACUGGGCGUAAAGGGCGCGUAGGCGGUCUUGUAAGUCUGUUGUGAAAGCCCAGGGCUCAACCCGGGAAUAGCAUUUGAUACUGCGAGGCUUGAGUCCGGGAGAGGAUGGCGGAAUUCCCAGUGUAGAGGUGAAAUUCGUAGAUCUUGGGAAGAACACCGGUGGCGAAGGCGGCCAGCUGGACCGGCACUGACGCUGAGGCCCUACAGCGUGGGGAGCAAACAGG